AUUGAACGCUGGCGGCAUGCCUUACACAUGCAAGUCGAACGGCAGCGCGGGAGCUUGCUCCUGGUGGCGAGUGGCGAACGGGUGAGUAAUACAUCGGAACGUACCCUGAAGUGGGGGAUAACGUAGCGAAAGUUACGCUAAUACCGCAUAUUCUGUGAGCAGGAAAGAGGGGGAUCGCAAGACCUCUUGCUUUAGGAGCGGCCGAUGUCGGAUUAGCUAGUUGGUGAGGUAAAGGCUCACCAAGGCGACGAUCCGUAGCGGGUCUGAGAGGAUGAUCCGCCACACUGGGACUGAGACACGGCCCAGACUCCUACGGGAGGCAGCAGUGGGGAAUUUUGGACAAUGGGCGCAAGCCUGAUCCAGCCAUGCCGCGUGAGUGAAGAAGGCCUUC
rnacentral:rRNA from 1 species